rnacentral:rRNA from 1 species
UAACUCGGCGAAAGCCGGGCUAAUACCGGAUGUGGUCAUUUUUCGCAUGGGAAAUGAUUAAAGGCGGGGAACCUUAGGGUCCUGUCGCUUGAGGAGGAGCCCGCGCCCCAUCAGCUUGUUGGCAGGGUAAUGGCCUACCAAGGCAUACGGGUAGCUGGUCUGAGAGGAUGGUCGGCCACACUGGGACUGAGACACUGCCCAGACUCCUACGGGAGGCUGCAGUCGAGAAUCAUUCACAAUGCGCGAAAGCGUGAUGAUGCGACGCUGCGUGGAGGAUGACGGCCUUCGGGUUGUAAACUCCUGUCAUGAGGGAAAAAUAGGCUCGGCGCUAAUAUCGUCGGGAAUUGAUGGUACCUCAAGAGGAAGCCACGGCUAACUCUGUGCCAGCAGCCGCGGUAAUACAGAGGUGGCAAGCGUUGUUCGGAUUUACUGGGCGUAAAGGGUGCGUAGGCGGUUUUGUAUGUCGGAUGUGAAAGCCCACUGCUCAACGGUGGAAUUGCAUUCGAAACUGCAGGACUAGAGUACAGGAAGGGAGAGCGGAAUUCCUGGUGUAGCGGUGAAAUGCGUUGAUAUCAGGAGGAACACCGGUGGCGAAGGCGGCUCUCUGGAAUGUUACUGACGCUGAGGCACGAAAGCUGGGGGAGCGAACAGGAUUAGAUACCCUGGUAGUCCCAGCUGUAAACGGUGCGCACUUGGUGUGGGGAUUUUGACCGUCCCCGUGCCGUAGCUAACGCGUUAACUGCGCCGNCUGGGGAGUACGGCCGCAAGGCUUAAAACUCAAAGAAAUUGACGGGGUGCCCGGACAAGCGGAGGAGCAUGUGGCUUAAUUCGAUGCAACGCG